rnacentral:rRNA from 1 species
UACGUAGGGCGCAAGCGUUGUCCGGAAUUAUUGGGCGUAAAGAGCUCGUAGGCGGUCUGUCGCGUCUGCCGUGAAAACCCGAGGCUUAACCUCGGGCUGGCGGUGGGUACGGGCAGACUAGAGUGAUGUAGGGGAGACUGGAAUUCCUGGUGUAGCGGUGAAAUGCGCAGAUAUCAGGAGGAACACCGAUGGCGAAGGCAGGUCUCUGGGCAUUAACUGACGCUGAGGAGCGAAAGCAUGGGGAGCGAACAGG